rnacentral:rRNA from 1 species
AUGUCAACAUGAGCUAACUUAGGGUUACAAGACAGAGCCUCCCCAUUAAUAGAACAACUAACCUUCUUCCAUGACCAUACCCUCCUAAUUCUAGUAAUAAUUACUAUUUUGGUAGGGUACUUAAUAAUUAUAUUAUUUUUUAAUAACUACACCAAUCGAUUUCUUCUCCACGGCCAAACUAUUGAAGUAAUUUGAACCAUCCUACCAGCUAUCGUCUUACUUUUCAUCGCUUUACCCUCCCUCCGGCUACUUUACCUUCUAGACGAAAUUAAUGAACCCGUAUUAACUUUAAAAUCUAUUGGCCACCAAUGAUAUUGAAGUUAUGAAUAUUCUGAUUUUCUGGAUCUAGAUUUCGACUCCUACAUAAUCCCUCCCCAUGAACUUCCAACUAAUGGGUUCCGAUUAUUAGACGUUGAUAACCGAGUUAUCCUCCCUAUAAAUUCUCAAAUUCGGGUACUAGUCACCGCAGCAGAUGUUAUCCAUUCAUGAACCGUACCCGCCCUAGGGGUAAAGGUAGAUGGUACCCCCGGACGACUUAAUCAAACAAACUUUUUAAUUAACCGUCCGGGCCUAUUCUUCGGUCAAUGUUCUGAAAUCUGCGGAGCCAACCAUAGAUUUAUACCAAUUGUAAUCGAAAGUGUCCCUGUUAAUCAUUUCCUCAAAUGAAUUCUA